AACUAUCUUGAACUGUUUUCAUCUUACACUUGCUUCCCAUGGAAUUUUACCUACCAACUCCCUGAGUUUGCUAAAGUCUGCCUUCUUGAAAUCCAUUGUCUUUAUUGUGCC